UACCAGCACCCCGAGUGGUCGGGACGAUUAUUGGGCCUAAAGCAUCCGUAGCCGGUUCUACAAGUCUUCCGUUAAAUCCACCUGCUUAACAGAUGGGCUGCGGAGGAUACUAUAGAGCUAGGAGGCGGGAGAGGCAAGCGGUACUUAGUGGGUAGGGGUAAAAUCCGUUGAUCCAUUGAAGACCACCAGUGGCGAAGGCGGCUGCCAGAACGCACUCGACGGUGAGGGAUGAAAGCUGGGGGAGCAAACCGGG
rnacentral:rRNA from 1 species